UGCGUUUGGCCAGAGUAAGCUAGGCUAGAAGAGUCGCUCACAUACUGAGGAUCCACUGCAUCAGCAGCUCAAGCAAAGAGCCAAAGAGUUACAACAAAUUGAACAAGCUCAGCUGCAGCAAAGAGAGGCCAACCUCACUGCUCUAGCUGCCAUUGGGCCUCGCAAGAAGAGACCUCUGGAGCAGACUGAAAGCCAGGUGACUCUGCUGCCCAGACAGGGUGUUCAGAGAGUGACUCGGAUCAUCCUGAGGGAUCUGCUGAUGUGUAUGGAGCAGGACCACUUCCUACGCCACUCUCUCACUCUGUACAAAGCGAUGAUCUGACCACCAUAAAUUACUCCUCCUACAGUUAAUGACUGAUAUUAAUCUGUAGAUUGUGUUUACGGGAUCCCAAGUUUUGGAAUCUUUUGUUUAUCUUUAUUUUAUUUUUUUUUACCUCAAAGAUUUUUGCGCUUUGGUUCAAUUCUAUGAAAUCUCUGUUUAUUAUCUAUUUAUUUUAGCAUGUUGUUUGAAAGAUGGUGCUGGAUCAGUGAUCAGCUGUCUCUGAAAGCACUCAUGAAUCAUUUUGGUUUUGAUGUUGAUUGUGUUCCUUUUGAAAAGAGAAUUUCAGUUGCAGAAAUAAUCAACCUGUGAGUUGGAUUAUAAUAAGAAUAGAGGAUAAGUGCUUCUAUGAAACACUGCUGUUUACCGAAAAGUACUAUGAACAGUGUUGAAAAAGUGUCAGAGGCCUCAACUUGAUGUUGAGUUUUUCAUUAUUCUGCUUGUUUAUUGUUUGACCAUUAAAAUAAGUAGAAUUUUUCACACCCUUA